CUGUCUUAUGUUUUUGCCACUUUCAGUUAUAUUGAUUAUCUCUUUUUGGAUGAUUACGUUGAUCGUGGCCAACAUAGCCUGGAAACUAUUACUCUUCUCCUUGCAUUGAAGAUUGAAUAUCCACAUAAUAUACAUUUAAUUCGUGGAAACCAUGAGGCAACAGACAUUAAUGCUUUAUUUGGGUUUCGUACCGAGUGCAUCGAGAGAAUGGGAGAACAAGACGGAAUCUGAGCAUGGCACCGUAUUAAGAGAUUGUUUAAUUGGUUGCCU